UACAGAGGGGGCAAGCGUUGUUCGGAAUUACUGGGCGUAAAGGGCGCGUAGGCGGCCGCCUAAGUCAGACGUGAAAUCCCUCGGCUCAACCGGGGAACUGCGUCUGAUACUGGGUGGCUUGAAUCCGGGAGAGGGAUGCGGAAUUCCGAGGUGUAGCGGUGAAAUGCGUAGAUAUCAGGGAGGAACACAAUAGCGAAGGCAGCUGCGCUGGGACGGUACUGACGCGUGAGGCGACGAAAGGCUAGGGGGAGCAAACAGGG
rnacentral:rRNA from 1 species